rnacentral:rRNA from 1 species
GAUGAACGCUAGCUACAGGCUUAACACAUGCAAGUCGAGGGGUAACGAGAGGAAAGCUUGCUCUCCUUGUCGACGACCGGCGCACGGGUGAGUAACGCGUAUCCAACCUGCCCCCAACUAGGGAAUAACCUUGCGAAAGUAAGACUAAUACCCUAUAAUUUCCUCAGAUGUCAUCUGACGAGGAAUAAAGAUUUAUCGGUUGUGGAUGGGGAUGCGUCUGAUUAGCUUGUUGGCGGGGGAACGGCCCACCAAGGCAACGAUCAGUAGGGGUUCUGAGAGGAAGGUCCCCCACAUUGGAACUGAGACACGGUCCAAACUCCUACGGGAGGCAGCAGUGAGGAAUAUUGGUCAAUGGGCGGAAGCCUGAACCAGCCAAGUAGCGUGCAGGAUGACGGCCCUAUGGGUUGUAAACUGCUUUUAUACAGGAAUAAAGUUAGCCACGUGUGGUUAUUUGUAGGUACUGUAUGAAUAAGGACCGGCUAAUUCCGUGCCAGCCGCCGCAGUAA